UACGUAGGGUGCGAGCGUUAAUCGGAAUUACUGGGCGUAAAGCGUGCGCAGGCGGUGAGCUGAGUCCGAUGUGAAAGCCCCGGGCUUAACCUGGGAAUGGCAUUGGAAACUGGCUCGCUGGAGUGUGGCAGAGGGGGGUGGAAUUCCGCGUGUAGCAGUGAAAUGCGUAGAGAUGCGGAGGAACGCCGAUGGCGAAGGCAGCCCCCUGGGCUAACACUGACGCUCAGGCACGAAAGCGUGGGGAGCAAACAGG
rnacentral:rRNA from 1 species